CCCUGGGUCAGUUGAAAGCCCAUACAGUUGGAUUGGUUGAAAGCCAUUCAGAUUACGUCUUCUGUUCUGGUGUUCGGAUUAAUUGACUGUCACAUAAUGUGCCGCUGGUUCUGCAGACAGUAAAGCCGUGGGAAAGAGGGGAGACAUUGCCUAGUGCAGCAGGUAAACAGACAGAUGAAAAAUGGACCUCUUAAGUAAGUAAAUAUAAAUAAAUAAUACCCGUAAAGAACGCUGGGGCUGAUGAAUUAACGGUCUGACUCAGAAAAAAAGCAGCUGCUUAUGCUGCUUCAAGACCAAACAGAGCACAUUAGAAAAACAAAAUACUGCAAGAGGCAUUUCUCUUUUCUGUGUUUCUUUGAACUCUGCUAUGAAUCCCCUGAAGAACUCUUGUGGGGAGGGGGGAGAAUGCAAAUUGUACAGCAGGAACAUUAAGAUAUCCAGGCACAACAGUUUCAUCCAACACCUCAGCAAAUGAACAGUCACAAAGUUGGUCCCAGAAGAUUUACCGCCGCAGUCAUCUUGCAACGAGGUAGAACUAUUUAAAAUGAAAAUGAAUUGACUCUCUGCCGUGUGUAUUUUGCAGGGAAAUCACCUGCUUGGGAUCUGCGGUAGCGAUUUGCUUCUCUCUAUUUCCCAAGAAAACAAGAAUCCAGGAAUCUUAGCCAAAAAAAGAUAUGACAACUUGAAAUGCCUAAUUUAGCAGGAUUCCUCAGGAAUUGCAAGAAAGCUGAAUAUUGUUGUGAAGGAAAUUUCUCACAGGCAUCUUACCAC